CUAAUUACAAAUUAAUUCUAACAAAAUUAAGUGAAAUCAAAUCCUAAAUGCUUAUGCAUUUUUUUGUAUUUUUUAUGACUUGUCUGCAGGCACCUAUGAAAAUACACACAAAAAUGCGCAAUUAAAUUCUAAAAUUGAAUAAUUAAAAGGAGAAAUCCUAAGUUUGAGAAUUCUAUAGGAAUAAUAUUAAUGAGGCAAAUAUCACGUGCUCAGGGUAAACGCAAAAUAUGUUGGAAUUGGGGUAAUUUUGGUUUCACCCACUAGACAGCAUUAUCCAGCCACAUCCCUGCUUCAGUUUUUCUGCACAAACAACACUGCGGAGUAUGAAGCCUACAUUCUGGGAAUAAACAUGGCAAUCGACCAGGACGUCGAAGAGUUGUUAAUCAUGGGGGACUUGGAUAUGAUUAUCCGGCAAGCUUAGGAAGAAUAGGAGACUCGAGAUGUCAAGCUUAUCCCCUACAGGCAGCAUGUUGAAGAUCUUGGCUGGCGAUUCAAGUCUAUAGAGUUCAGGUACAUCCCUCAUUGCCAUAAUGAACUGGCCGAUGCGCUUGCUACUUUGGCCUCAAUGCUGCCAUACCCAGGCAAUGAUCGGAUAGAUCCUUUGGAAAUCCAAAUUUAGGAAAGGCAUGGUUACUGCAAUACGGUUGAAGUAGAACCAAAUAGUCAGCCAUGGUAUUAUGAAAUCAAAACAUUUCUGAAAACUAAAUAAUACCCCGAGCAAGCUAGUGGAGACCAAAAGAGAAUCAUUAGAUGGCCCGCAAGUGAUUUCUUUUUGAGUGGUGUUGUCUUGUACAAAAGAACCCCGAACCUCAACUUGUUAAGAUGUGUUGAUGCAAAGUUGGCUGAAAGAACCAUGUAUGAAGUACACAUGGGAGUAUGCGGACCCCACAUGAAAUGAGUAUGUUUUAGCAAUGAAAAUCCUUCGAGCAAGCUAUUACUGGAUAACCAUGGAAAGAGAUUGUUUCAGCGCUAAUCGGAAGUGUCGUCAAUGUCAGGUGCAUGGUGAUUUGAUUCAUGCACCACCCACAGAACUACAUCCCAUGUCAGCACCUUGGCCAUUUUUUGCUUGGGUCAUGGACGUCAUUGGGCCAAUCGAGCCAAAGUCCUCAAAUGGGCACAGAUUCAUACUGGUCGCCAUUGAAUACUUUACAAAAUGGGUUGAAGCCAUCACUCUCAAAUCAAUCACUAAGAAAGUUGUUGUAGAUUUUGUGCACUCAAUCUUAUCUAUCGUUUUGGUAUUCCUGCAACUAUAAUCACAGAUAACACUGCAAACUCUAAUAGUCAUUUGAUGGACGAGAUAUGCAAAUAACUAAAAACAACACAUCCAAACUCUACUCCUUAUCGGCCUAAAGGCAAUGGUAUAGUCAAAGCAGCAAACAAGAACAUCAAAACAAUUUUGAGAAAGAUGAUUCAAAGCUCUAGGCAGUGGCAUGAAAAGUUGCCUUUUGCAUUGUUGAGAUAUCUCACUACAGUGCGCACAUCAGUUGGAGCAACCCCAUACCACUUGGUCUAUAGCACCGAUGUCGUAAUACCUGAGGAAGUUGAAAUCCCUUUUCUCCAGAUCAUUGUUGAAGCCGAAAUUGAAGACAAUGAGCGGUUCAAGACCCGUCUGAAAUAGUUAAUCCUGAUUGAUGAAAAGCGGUCGCAGUCUACACCGGCCAGUUGUACCAACAAAUAAUGGCCCGUGCCUAUAACAAGAAAGUGCGGCCCAGGAAUUUUGAAGUCGGGCAACUCGUGUUAAGGCACAUUCUUCUCUAUUAUCAGGAAGCAAAAGGAAAAUUUGCUCCUAAUUGGAAAGGCCUAUAUAUCAUCAGAAAUAUAUUGCCGAGAGGGGCAUUACACUUGAGAGAUAUCGAAGGAAAUGAUCCCAAAGCAGCUGUGAAUACGGAUGCGGUGAAAAGGCACUAUGUUUAGGCUUUCUACGGAAACAACACUAUCCGAUUAGGAUGACGAAGGCUUUCAUUCUCGCUACCAAAACACAAUCAACCUUUUGCAAAUCCUUUGAGCCAGUUUCUCUUAUUUGAUUUCCCUCUUUGGAACCUAAAAGUGUUGCUAUAAAAUCAAAACAAAAGAAAGAAAAAAAAAAGCAAAUCAGAAAAACAAAAACAAAUGUUUUCCUGAAUUACCUUUGCAUUGAUUCCGAAAUGAUACGUAGGCUGCCUCUUUUCGGGGUUCAGUCACACCAAAAAAAAAUCCAAUUUUCCCUAAAAAGUGAAACUGGGGCAGAUGUUAUUAUGG
rnacentral:lncRNA from 1 species